GGCUUCAUAGCUCAGUUGGUUAGAGUCUCACACCAGCAUUGCGAGGUCACGGGUUCAAACCCCGUUGACGUCC
rnacentral:tRNA from 1 species